rnacentral:tRNA from 1 species
GAAAAGAUGGCUCAGUGGUAGAGCAUCUGCUUGUCAGGCAGAAGCGCCCGGGUUCAAUCCUUGUCUUUUCC